UCUACAACCAAAUGUGCCAUCUCUCCAUGCUUCAAAAGCACAAGAGUCUGUAGGAGGUAGAUCACCAGCAUUUCAAAAUAUUUCACCUGUUAGUAGAGUACGAGGUACACCAGACACUUCUGAAUUAGCAAGAAUCUUACCUCAGAAAUACAGAAGGAAACAAAUGUCAGAUGAAGAGAUUGAAUAUAUUCAACGUGGAGGUCCAGAAUAAGUGUAGAAGAUAGUUUGCUGACCACUGCUGAAGAAUGAAGUACUAUAUUCACAAUAAAGGCAUUUCCUUAAUAUUAAAAA